GCCAAGCCAAAACCCUAUUGUAAAUGCAUACACCUAAUAGAAAACAAAAAAUAUAAGUAAAUGCAUAGAUAAAGAAAAUGAGUUAGAAAACAUUAAUAGCUCAAUUAACAUCAACAUAAACAUGCACUAAAUGUUAAACAAAAGUUAUGAAGACAAGUUAUGAAGUUGAAAAAGAGGGUAAAAGAGGGAGGAGAAACAACAUAUCAUAUAUUGAAGGUUCAUGAUGAAGGAAGAAAAGAAAUUAAGAGAGAAAGAAAAUGAAAAAUGGAUGAUAGAACGAGAGAAUGAGAGUAUGAGAGUAUGAGAAG
rnacentral:lncRNA from 1 species